rnacentral:rRNA from 1 species
GACGAACGCUGGCGGCGCGCCUAACACAUGCAAGUCGAACGAGCGAGAGAGAGCUUGCUUUCUCGAGCGAGUGGCGAACGGGUGAGUAACGCGUGAGGAACCUGCCUCAAAGAGGGGGACAACAGUUGGAAACGACUGCUAAUACCGCAUAAGCCCACGACUCGGCAUCGGGUAGAGGGAAAAGGAGCAAUCCGCUUUGAGAUGGCCUCGCGUCCGAUUAGCUAGUUGGUGAGGUAACGGCCCACCAAGGCGACGAUCGGUAGCCGGACUGAGAGGUUGAACGGCCACAUUGGGACUGAGACACGGCCCAGACUCCUACGGGAGGCAGCAGUGGGGAAUAUUGCACAAUGGGGGAAACCCUGAUGCAGCGACGCCGCGUGGAGGAAGAAGGUCUUCGGAUUGUAAACUCCUGUUGUUGAGGAAGAUAAUGACGGUACU